rnacentral:lncRNA from 1 species
AUUGGCGAGAGGGCUGCAAAGCCUGGCUGGUGGGGGUAACCAGGGGGGCAGCGCUGCUGAAAAAUGGGGAACAGAGCUGCACCUGCUGUUUCAUUUUUGUUUCGAUUUUUGUAAACAUCAGUCUGUUUUAAAACAGUUUGCCUUUUUUUUUUUUCUUUUGCCUUUUAAACAGAAGAUACCUAUUGCUGGAGGUGUUGUGAGCAGGGAGAGGAUAAGCUGUUUGAUGCAGCGUGUGGUACCGAGCUGGGGGUAACGAAGGAGUGGGUAUGUUGCAGGUCAGCACGAGUUCAGGCAGCGAGGUCUAAAUAAAUUGUGCCAUUGCAGCAGCUAUCAUUUGAUGAGAGAGAAGGUUUUGGUCACUAGACCAGUUUGUCUGUGAUCUAUGUACCUUUUGAAAUCAGUACUGUAUUUACCUCAGCAGUGUAGAGGUCCGGGUACAAACCUAAAUAUUUUUUAGCACACUGAGAGUUUAGGAGUGACCAGAUAUUAUUAUAGUAUUAUCUUGAAGUGUGAAGGUGUGGAAACACCGUAAAACGAGGUAAAAUAUCAGAGACUGAAGUAAUGUCUUCAUGUGGUUCUGACCUGUCAUUGACUCGAGCUGUGUUUCUCUUAGGAGAAACAGAUUUCCCUGUGGUGCCAGAGCUGGAUAUAACUGUAUGGCACUCUUUCUUUGAGCUGCAGCUUUCCAUGUGUGCUGGAAGAGUGUGA